CUCGACUUUUCCAGGAUCCAUCAUUCUCUCUUAAGAUGGAUCCAUCAUUUCUUAAGAUGGACUCUCGCCUGCCACCGCUUCCUUAGCGCCUACUCCACCGCUCACUCAUCUUCUCGUUGAAGCUACGGUGGUAUUUAUCGGUGCUACCACUACGGUGCCACAACUCGAUCCUGACUAUCAGGUCAACUCGCCCGUUCGACGACACCGGUUACCUGGGCUACGACCCCCGACUCUUCUCCCAGAGAUUCAAAUCCUUCGUCGACUCCUAGUCGCUCAAGGACUCUGCCACUGAUUCCCCAAUAUUCCACGGCUCCGCCGUAGACGACGCUUUCGCUACUCAGUUGGCGUCGGAUGCCUUCUCUCCUUCCUCUAUCUACGACAAAUCGAACAACCAGGGCUUGGAUGGAGGGUUUGGCAGGUCCGACGAUCCGAUUUUUCCGCCUCCGUCGGCGAUGCUGCCUGAGGAAGGCUUCGCUCUUGGAGGAUGGAGGAGGUGUGCAAUGUGAUCUCCCAUUUGAGUUUCAGGUUCUGGAUAUUGCACUAGAAGUUGUCUGUACAUACUUGACUUCAAGUGUGGCAUACCUUGAGAAAGAAUCCUACCCUGUUUUAGAUGAACUGGCCAGAAAUGUGGCAGCGCUUAAUCUAUCUAGAGAGUAGAGAUUAGUGUAAACUCUCGUGUUCUAAACUACCUGAUUCAUAUAAUGCAAAUGUUACUUUUAUCUUCUUUGCGAUUGAGUGUUAUUGUAAAAAAAGUAUAACAGUUUGAAGGUUACUUUAAGUAUGUUUGUGUAAAACCUGCA